UUCUGAGGGAGGCUGUAAUCAGCUGUACAGGAGAGUUCUGAGGGAGGCUGUAAUCAGCUGUACAGGAGAGUUCUGAGGGAGGUUGUAAUCAGCUGUACAGGAGAGUUCUGAGGGAGGUUGUAAUCAGCUGUACAGGAGAGCAAUGCUGUGCUGCCUGCUUCUAGUAGUGUUAUAAUCCCAAUAUAACAGUGUACAGUCUGACUCAGCAGAAAAACCUAGUUCUCAGUCCCGUCCAGAUCUGCCUAAUGUUUCUGUUAAUUGUUAGGUGUCAAACACUGGCUAACAAAAGCACAGUUUGUAAUCACUAAGUGGACUCCAAAAACUAAUUGUGCCUGCUUAGAUCUAUUCCAUGUUGUUGUACUGAACCCAUUAGAAGACUGUCUGACUGACAGCCUGAUGUAUGUCAAGUAUUCAUGAAGAUGGACGAGGCUAGAACCCAUUAGAAGACUGUCUUCGUGAAGAUGGACGAGGCCAGAACCCAUUAGAAGACUGUCUUCGUGAAGAUGGACGAGGCUAGAACCCAUUAGAAGACUGUCUUCGUGAAGAUGGACGAGGCUAGAACCCAUUAGAAGACUGUCUUCGUGAAGAUGGACGAGGCUAGAACCCAUUAGAAGACUGUCUUCGUGAAGAUGGACGAGGCUAGAACCCAUUAGAAGACUACAGUCUUGGUGAAGAUGGACGAGGCUAGAACCCAUUAGAAGACUGUCUUCAUGAAGAUGGACGAGGCCAGAACCCAUUAGAAGACUGUCUUCGUGAAGAUGGACGAGGCCAGAACCCAUUAGAAGACAGUCUUCGUGAAGAUGGACGAGGCUAGAACCCAUUAGAAGACUGUCUUCGUGAAGAUGGACGAGGCUAGAACCCAUUAGAAGACUGUCUUCGUGAAGAUGGACGAGGCUAGAACCCAUUAGAAGACUGUCUUCAUGAAGAUGGACGAGGCUAGAACCCAUUAGAAGACUGUCUUCAUGAAGAUGGACGAGGCUAGAACCCAUUAGAAGACUGUCUUCAUGAAGAUGGACGAGGCCAGAACCCAUUAGAAGACUGUCUUCGUGAAGAAGAUGAAGAUUAGAAGACUGUCUUCAUGGACGAGGCUAGAACCCAUUAGAAGACUGUCUUCAUGAAGAUGGACGAGGCUAGAACCCAUUAGAAGACUGUCUUCAUGAAGAUGGACGAGGCCAGAACCCAUUAGAAGACUGUCUUCAUGAAGAUGGACGAGGCCAGAACCCAUUAGAAGACUGUCUUCGUGAAGAUGGACGAGGCUAGAACCCAUUAGAAGACUGUCUUCGUGAAGAUGGACGAGGCCAGAACCCAUUAGAAGACUGUCUUCGUGAAGAUGGACGAGGCUAGAACCCAUUAGAAGACUGUCUUCAUGAAGAUGGACGAGGCCAGUAGCCCUGAAGGGACAAUAGAGAGGAACAAUCUGCUGCUGUUCACUCCAAUAGGAAAACAACAGUAGUUAAGAGGAGAAUUGUAAUCAGAUACGUUGUUCAUGUUUUUUACCUAAUAAUGAUGUCACUGGUUCAUUCUGAACUAUUAUAGGGCUGCUUUCUCAGACGACCCCUUGGUCCUGGACUAAACAUCACUUUCAAUGGAGAAUGUCCAUUCACCACUGCUCUCUAGCCCAGAACUAGGUUUAGGCCGAAUGAGGAAACCGGCCCGUUUUAUAAAGAUAUAUAUAUAUAAACCUGUUACGAAAGUUUUAAGCCUUGAUGGGACUCAGCAACUACAGUAGAGGGGUAAAAAAUGGUUCUCUACGCAAUUCAUUACAGUGCCUUUAUGUCAAUCUUUUUAAAUGUAUUGCCACAUUUUACAGAGGUCUUACAGUAAGUAAUCGUGUCUAGCUACACUAUAUAUACAAAAGUAUGUGGACACCCCUUCAAAUGAGUGGAUUCGUCUAUUUCAGACAUCUGUUGCCGACAGGUGUAUAAAAUUGAGCAUGCCUCCAUGCAAUCUCCAUAGACAAACACUGGUAGUAGAAUUGCCUUAGUGAAGAGCUCAUUGACGUUCAACGUGGCACCAUCGUAGGAUGCCACCUUUCCAACAAGUCAGUUUGUCAAAUUUCUGCCCUGCUAGAGCUGCCCCCCGGUCAACUGUAAGUUCUGUUAUUACAGAGCGGCUCAGCCGCUAAGUGGUAGGCCACAUAAGCUCACAGAACGGGACCACCCGAGUGCUGAAGCGCUUGGCACGUAACAAUCGUCUGACCUCGGUUGCAACACUCACUACCGAGUUUCAAACUGCCUCUGGAAGCAACGUCAGCACAAGAACUGUUCGUUGGGAGCUUCAUGAAAUGGGUUUCCAUGGCCGAGCAGCCGCACACAAGCCUAAGAUCACCAUGCGCAAAGCCAAGCGUCGGCUGGAGUGGUGUAAAGCUCACCACCAUUGGAUUCUGGAGUAGUGGAAACGCUUCACCAUCUGGCAGUCUGACGGAUGAAUCUGGGUUUGGCGAAUGCCAGGAGAACGCUACCUGCCUGAAUGCAUAGUGCCAACUGUAAAGUUUGGUGGAGGAAGAAUAAUGGUCUGGGGCUGUUUUCCAUGGUUCGGGUCCCUUAGUUCCAGUGAAGGGAAAUCUUAAUGCUACAGCAGACAAUGACAUUCAAGAUGAUUCUCUGCUUCCAACUUUGAGACAAAUGUUUUGGGGAAGGCCCUUUCCUGUUUCAGCAUGACAAUGCCCCCGUUCACAAAGCGAGGUCCAUACGGAAAUGGUUUGUCGAGAUCAGUGUAGAAGAACUUGACUGGCCUGCACAGAGCCCUGACCUCAACCCCAUCGAACACCUUUGGGAUGAAUUGGAACGCAGACUGCGAGCCAGGAGGCCUAAUCGCCCAACAUCAAUGCACUGACCUCACUAAUGCUCUUGUGACUGAAUGGAAGAAAGUCCCCUCAGCAAUGUUCCAACAUCUAGUGGAAAGCCUUCCCAGAAGAGAGGAGUCUGUUAUAGCAGCAAUGUUCCAACCUCUAGUGGAAAGCCUUCCCAGAAGAGUGGAGGCUGUUAUAGCAGCAAUGUUCCAACAUCUAGUGGAAAGCCUUCCUAGAAGAGAGGAGGCUGUUAUAGCAGCAAUGUUCCAACCUCUAGUGGAAAGCCUUCCUAGAAGAGAGGAGGCUGUUAUAGCAGCAAUGUUCCAACAUCUAGUGGAAAGCCUUCCUAGAAGAGUGGAGGCUGUUAUAGCAGCAAUGUUCCUACAUCUAGUGAAAGCCUUCCCAGAAGAGAGGAGGCUGUUAUAGCAGCAAAGGGGAGGACCAACUCCAUAUGUAAUACCCAUGUUUUUUGCAAUGAGAUGUUGGACGGGCAGGUGUCCACAUACUUUUGGUCAUGUAGUGUACAAACUACAAACACACGUUAUAGAAAUUCCACUCACAACACUAACACGUGUCCAAACCUGAUACUUUUUUUAAAAAUAAAUUUUUAUAAUUGUAGCCUCUCUUUAGUGUGGUAUCAAGUUCUUUCCCCAGAGUGUUUUAUUUUAUAUAAUGUUUUAUAAAUUACAUCUCUGAUUUUGACCUGAUGAUAUUGAAUACUGUUUUACUGGUUUGUUAGUUAUUUCGUUGCGGAUGGGCUUUGGUGGGUUGUUCUUGGAUUAUCUGUGGGUUCGAUAACUGAUCUACAAGUUGAUAACGAGUGUUUGACUUUUAGGGGAAAAGUAUUUAUAAAAUGUAUCCUGGAGCAGAAAACACAAUGCAGGACAGUGGGGGGAAAACAGACGUAUUUAAUUAAAUUGAAAGUUUCUAAUUACGAUUUGAAAAUGGAUAUCGAGAUAUACUGAAUAACUAAUUUUGAAAGAAAAAAUAGUUGUAUUGAUUUGUUGCCUAUAUAAAGUAUUAAUGAAUUAUAAAUGAUAUUGAUAUUUCAAUGUUUCACAUUUUGGAAUUGAUCUUUAGCCAAACCUAGUGUGAUUUGUAUUGGAAGGAAUUGAUCUUUAGCCAAACCUAGUGUGAUUUGUAUUGGAAGGAAUUGAUCUUUAGCCAAACCUAGUGUGAUUUGUAUUGGAAGGAAUUGA
ensembl:lncRNA